CGCGGGGGAUUAACGACACCAAGCUGCGGCAGACGGAGACACUGAAGAGGGACUUCAGGAGCCUGAUUGAGAUGGUGCGCAGCACAUUGCCCGCGACGACGAUCAUCGUGUCAGGAACGCUUCCCACGUAUCGACGAGGACAUGAAAGUAAAUUAGGCUUUUUCGCACUGAUGGCCUGCACCCCAGCACCCCAGAGUCGAAGCGGAACUCCUGUCGGACAACAUCUCCAGGACACUACGAUAUGUAGUGGUUUUAGAAAGUCACCGUAGCCACCCAAAUCCAGUCCAUAUCCAGAC